CUUUCUGCUAGAUAUGGCCGCAACC
rnacentral:rRNA from 1 species